rnacentral:snoRNA from 1 species
GGCGGACCCCAUCCAAAUGACCUGCCGACCCAUAACGCAGAUCAAUAAUUCAGCAGUUAGAAGAGUAGGUAGCGUCCUGCAGGAAGGGCAAGUUUUUCGAAAACACCAUAAGGUUCUCUGGCCCAAUGAGUGGAGUUUGAUAUUAAUUCUUGCUACAAAU